rnacentral:misc_RNA from 1 species
AACGGUCUAUACCUGCGGUACCUGCGGAAGGAUCAUUACCGAGUUAUCGACUCCCAAACCCCUGUGAACAUACCCGAACGUUGCCUCGGCGGGACCGCCCCGGCGCCCCUAGCGGCCCGGAACCAGGCGCCCGCCGGAGGACCCAAACUCUUGCUUUAAACAGUGGCAUACUCUCUGAGUCUCACAAACAAAAAAUAAAUCAAAACUUUUAACAAUGGAUCUCUAGAUCGGAAGAGCACA